AACGAACGCUGGCGGCAGGCCUAACACAUGCAAGUCGAGCGGACCUUUCGGGGUCAGCGUCGGACGGGUGAGUAACGCGUGGGAAUAUGCCCUUCUCUACGGAAUAGUCCUGGGAAACUGGGGGUAAUACCGUAUACGCCCUUUGGGGGAAAGAUUUAUCGGGGAAGGAUUAGCCCGCGUUGGAUUAGGUAGUUGGUGGGGUAAUGGCCUACCAAGCCGACGAUCCAUAGCUGGUUUGAGAGGAUGAUCAGCCACACUGGGACUGAGACACGGCCCAGACUCCUACGGGAGGCAGCAGUGGGGAAUCUUAGACAAUGGGGGCAACACUGAUCUAGCCAUGCCGAGUGAGUGAUGAAGGCCGUAGGGUUGUAAAGCUCUUUCAGCUGGGAAGAUAAUGACGGUACCAGCAGAAGAAGCCCCGGCUAACUCCGU
rnacentral:rRNA from 1 species